rnacentral:sRNA from 1 species
CACGUUCCAGGGUCGGGUUUGGUGGAUCCCUCAGUCCCUGCCGCCGCGGGGCGCCCUGGGAUAGCGGCGGGGCCUCCCGUCACCUGCAGAAUCCAUUAAGGCCUGGAGGCCUAAGGAGUUAGUAUUGUAUGAAAUCCCUACGAAACCCGGUGAAAAGAAAGAUGUCUCUGGGCCCCUGCCUCCUGCAUACAGCCCCCGAUAUGUUGAGGCUGCCUGGUACCCGUGGUGGGUACGAGAGGGCUUCUUCAAACCAGAAUAUCAGGCCCGGCUGCCCCAAGCUACAGGGGAGACCUUUUCCAUGUGUAUCCCACCUCCCAAUGUCACUGGCUCCCUGCACAUUGGCCACGCACUCACGGUGGCCAUACAGGAUGCCCUCGUGCGCUGGCACCGGAUGCGUGGGGAUCAAGUGCUGUGGGUCCCUGGUUCAGAUCAUGCAGGAAUUGCUACACAAGCUGUGGUGGAGAAACAACUGUGGAAGGAACGGGGAGUGAGGAGACAUGAGCUGAGCCGGGAGGCCUUCCUUAGGGAGGUGUGGCAGUGGAAGGAGGCGAAAGGUGGAGAGAUCUGUGAGCAGCUGCGAGCUCUGGGUGCCUCCCUGGACUGGGAUCGAGAGUGUUUUACCAUGGAUGUUGGCUCCUCAGUGGCUGUGACUGAAGCUUUUGUGCAGCUCUACAAGGCGGGGUUGCUGUACCGGAACCAUCAGCUUGUCAACUGGUCAUGUGCUUUAAGAUCAGCCAUCUCAGACAUUGAGGUGGAGAACCGGCCCCUGCCUGGCCACACACAGCUUCGACUGCCUGGCUGCCCCACCCCCGUGUCUUUUGGCCUCCUAUUUUCUAUUGCCUUCCCGGUGGAUGGAGAGCCUG